UGUGUAGGCGGUUGUUUAAGUUUGGUGUGAAAUCUCCCGGCUCAACUGGGAGGGUGCGCCGAAUACUGAAUGACUAGAGUGCGGGAGAGGAAAGUGGAAUUCCUGGUGUAGCGGUGAAAUGCGUAGAUAUCAGGAGGAACACCGGUGGUGUAGACGGCUUUCUGGACCGUAACUGACGCUGAAACACGAAAGCGUGGGUAGCAAACA
rnacentral:rRNA from 1 species